AGUGAACGCUGGCGGUAGGCCUAACACAUGCAAGUCGAACGGCAGCACAGUAAGAGCUUGCUCUUACGGGUGGCGAGUGGCGGACGGGUGAGGAAUACAUCGGAAUCUACUUUUUCGUGGGGGAUAACGUAGGGAAACUUACGCUAAUACCGCAUACGACCUACGGGUGAAAGCAGGGGAUCUUCGGACCUUGCGCGAUUGAAUGAGCCGAUGUCGGAUUAGCUAGUUGGCGGGGUAAAUGCCCACCAAGGCGACGAUCCGUAGCUGGUCUGAGAGGAUGAUCAGCCACACUGGAGCUGAGACACGGUCCAGACUCCUACGGGAGGCAGCAGUGGGGAAUAUUGGACAAUGGGCGCAAGCCUGAUCCAGCCAUACCGCGUGGGUGAAGAAGGCCUUCGGGUUGUAAAGCCCUUUUGUUGGGAAAGAAAAGCAGCAGGUUAAUACCCAGCUGUUCUGACGGUACCCAAAGAAGAAGCACCGGCUAACUUCGUG
rnacentral:rRNA from 1 species